rnacentral:lncRNA from 1 species
GUCAGAUUUAAAUUCCGUCAUCCAAUAAUAUUUAAAGUAAGAUUGCAGCCUCUAUUUGUGCUCGUCCACCCGUUUAUUUAUUUAUUUAUUUUUUUAAAUUAAUAUUUUUUCAUCACAUGUAUUUUUCAAUAUGGUAUUUAUUUACUUUUUUUGCCGUUGAUGAGCAAUGGCAGCUAAGCUACUAGAAGAAGUCUGGAAAGAUUUAUUGAUUGUGUGUGUUGUAUGCCACUUUAAGCUCUCUUUGUUAUACCAUAUUGGCUACUUUUUAUUGGAAUCGAUGUAUCCAGAGAAAAUCAGCUACCUUUAUAUUUGUAAUCAGGUUAUUCUUGUUAGUUAAGAUCGGAAUCCGACGAUCUCCUAAUUUCAGUGUUGACAGGCACGUGAUCACAGUGGUUGAUCUGUUUACCCUUGUAGAACCCUGAACUGUGUCAUAC